GAGAGGAGAGGAGAGGAGAGGAGAGGAGUAGGGAAGAGAAGGAGCUGCUAGACGAUGAUAAUAUCCCAUCAUCUCAGACACUGAUGAAGCUUGUAUCCCUGGACCAGACUCUCAGAGAGAAAUCCAAUUUCUGUUAACAGCACCAUGUUGUCCUGAUAGGAUCUAUCACCUGGAGCUAGAGCUGCAGCCAGAGAGAGGCAGAGCAUGGCGGACACAUCAUGAACUGCAUCUGUUACAACACUGACAACACACACACACAUAAAUGUAUUCAUGGCUUUA